UACAGAGGGGGCGAGCGUUGUUCGGAAUUACUGGGCGUAAAGGGCGCGUAGGCGGCCUUCUAAGUCGAACGUGAAAUCCCCGGGCUCAACCCGGGAACUGCGUCCGAUACUGGGAGGCUUGAAUCCGGGAGAGGGAUGUGGAAUUCCAGGUGUAGCGGUGAAAUGCGUAGAUAUCUGGAGGAACACCGGUGGCGUAGGCGGCAUCCUGGACCGGUAUUGACGCUGAGGCGCGAAAGCUAGGGGAGCAAACGGG
rnacentral:rRNA from 1 species